rnacentral:rRNA from 1 species
GCUAAGCCGUAAACAUUGACAGUUAUGAAUACAAUACUUUCCGCCAGAGAACUACAAGUGAAAAACUUAAAACUCAAAGGACUUGGCGGUGUCCCACAUUCGACCUAGAGGAGCCUGUCCUAUAAUCGAUACUCCCCGCUCUACCUUACCAGCACUAGCACCUACUCAGCCUAUAUACCGCCGUCGACAGCUUACCCCCUGAGGGUCAAACAGUAAGCAUAAUAGUCCUAUCACUAACACGUCAGGUCAAGGUGUAGCUAAUGUGCUGGCAGAGAUUGGCUACAUUUUUUAUCUUAAAAAACACGAAAUGCUACAUGAAAAACAGCAUGAAGGCGAAUUUAGUAGUAAAACAAACAAGAGAGUCUGUUUUAACAACGCUCUGGGACGCGU